rnacentral:rRNA from 1 species
AGAGUUUGAUCCUGGCUCAGGAUGAACGCUAGCGGCAGGCUUAAUACAUGCAAGUCGUGGGGCAGCAGGGGUAGCAAUACCCGCUGGCGACCGGCAAACGGGUGAGGAACAUGUACGCAACCUACCUUUAACUGGAGGAUAGCCCCUCGAAAGAGGGAUUAAUACUCCGUAACAUAAUGAAGUGGCAUCGCUUUGUUAUUAUAGCUCCGGCGGUUAAAGAUGGGCGUGCAGCUGAUUAGGCAGUUGGCGGGGUAACGGCCCACCAAACCUACGAUCAGUAACUGGUGUGAGAGCACGACCAGUCACACGGGCACUGAGACACGGGCCCGACUCCUACGGGAGGCAGCAGUAAGGAAUAUUGGUCAAUGGAGGCAACUCUGAACCAGCCAUGCCGCGUGAAGGAUUAAGGCCCUCUGGGUUGUAAACUUCUUUUAUAUGGGAAGAAAUGUUCUGAUUCUUCAGAGCUUGACGGUACCAUAGGAAUAAGCACCGGCUAACUCCGUGCCAGCAGCCGCGGUAAUACGGAGGGUGCAAGCGUUAUCCGGAUUCACUGGGUUUAAAGGGUGCGUAGGUGGGCAGAUAAGUCAGUGGUGAAAUCUUCCGGCUUAACCGGAAAAUUGCCGUUGAUACUAUUUGUCUUGAAUAUUGUGGAGGUAAGCGGAAUAUGUCAUGUAGCGGUGAAAUGCUUAGAUAUGACAUAGAACACCAAUUGCGAAGGCAGCUUACUAUAUAAUUAUUGACACUGAGGCACGAAAGCGUGGGUAGCGAACAGGAUUAGAUACCCUGGUAGUCCACGCCCUAAACGAUGAUUACUCGACAUACGCGAUACACUGUGUGUGUCUGAGCGAAAGCAUUAAGUAAUCCACCUGGGAAGUACGACCGCAAGGUU